UGAACGCUGGCGGCGUGCCUAAUACAUGCAAGUCGAGCGAACAGACGCGGAGCUUGCUCCUCUGACGUUAGCGGCGGACGGGUGAGUAACACGUGGAUAACCUACCUAUAAGACUGGGAUAACUUCGGGAAACCGGAGCUAAUACCGGAUAAUAUAUUGAACCGCAUGGUUCAAUAGUGAAAGACGGUUUUGCUGUCACUUAUAGAUGGAUCCGCGCCGCAUUAGCUAGUUGGUAAGGUAACGGCUUACCAAGGCGACGAUGCGUAGCCGACCUGAGAGGGUGAUCGGCCACACUGGAACUGAGACACGGUCCAGACUCCUACGGGAGGCAGCAGUAGGGAAUCUUCCGCAAUGGGCGAAAGCCUGACGGAGCAACGCCGCGUGAGUGAUGAAGGUCUUCGGAUCGUAAAACGCUGUUAUUAGGGAAGAACAAAUGUGUAAGUAACUAUGCACGUCUUGACGGUACCUAAUCAGAAAGCCACGGCUAACUACGU
rnacentral:rRNA from 1 species